GUCUUUUUUAUUUAUGAGUAUAUCACCCGGGUGUAAUUGUGAACCAUACGCAAGUAGAAAAUCCUUUAUAAUUUUUCAAAUUUUGCAUUUUUUUACUUCAUCCUCACUUUUUUAUCAAUAAAAUGUUCAAACUCAACAUUCUAUGUAAAAAUUUUCAAAAAAAAAUCGGUUUUUAAACGUCCCUUUAACUUUACUGGCCCUCAAGAAGGACAGUGUCUUCUGUGGUAGUUGGACAAAGUGAUUCAGCCAGUACUACACUCUGCGAUGGAUUUCAGGAUAUCCAGAAGAAGCUCAAGUGUGUUCGAUGGGUAUAUAAUAGAUGAGAAAGUCCAAGUCGUAGUUAUAAGGGGAUAAAUAGGAAAAGAAGAUGAAAGAGAAAAACCCAAAAACUAAACUACAUGUGAGAAACUGAACUGAGGAAUUUCUGAGAUCGACAUUGGCCAAGGCAACCGAAAGAAAUCAGACACCUGUACAACCUCACAAUGCAAGAUCAAGGUACCAACAAUAUCAACCUAGUCAAGAUUAUGCUUUAAUAUGAACCUGAUUCCUAAUAAGUAGUUGUUUUAUAGCAGUAAAACAAAAUAUAUAUCUAUCCAUUAAUGUCUAUAUUCUGUUCUGAUACUGAUUCUGAUUCUGAUCUGUAUUUAUACAUAUAUUUGGCCAAUUAAAUACAUUUGCAAUAAA